AUUGAACGCCGGCGGCAUGCCUUACACAUGCAAGUCGAACGGCAGCACGGGAGCAAUCCUGGUGGCGAGUGGCGAACGGGUGAGUAAAGUAUCGGAACGUGCCCAGUCGUGGGGGAUAACGUAGCGAAAGUUACGCUAAUACCGCAUACGAUCUAUGGAUGAAAGCGGGGGAUCGCAAGACCUCGCGCGAUUGGAGCGGCCGAUAUCAGAUUAGGUAGUUGGUGGGGUAAGGGCUCACCAAGCCGACGAUCUGUAGCUGGUCUGAGAGGACGACCAGCCCAACUGGGACUGAGACACGGCCCAGACGCGUACGGGAGGCAGCAGUGGGGAAUUUUGGACAAUGGGCGAAAGCCUGAUCCAGUCAUGCCGCGUGCAGGAUGAAGGCCUUCGGGUUGUAAACUGCUUUUGUACGGAACGAAAAGGUUUGGGCUAAUAAGCUGAGCUCAUGACGGUACCGUAAGAAUAAGCACCGGCUAACUACGUGCCAGCCGCCGCAGUAAUAC
rnacentral:rRNA from 1 species